AUAACGACUCUCGGCAACGGAUAUCUCGGCUCUCGCAUCGAUGAAGAACGCAGCGAAAUGCGAUACCUGGUGUGAAUUGCAGAAUCCCGUGAAUCAUCGAGUCUUUGAACGCAAGUUGCGCCCGAGACCAUUCGGUCGAGGGCACGCCUGCCUGGGCGUCACG
rnacentral:rRNA from 2 species